AUAUAUAUAGUGACUGCCUCUAAUCUAUAAAUAUUGAAGGAUGUUAAUCUUUUUGGUCACAUAUUUAUAUUGUUGCUUUUUUUAUUUGAUAUUAGAGUAUAUGAUCUAUGUAAUCUCUACUUUUUAAAUGUACAGCUUUCAAGCAAAUGUAUGAUUUUUUCAUAAAUGGACAUAAGAUUGAUUAUAUAUAUAUGUACGUGUGUGUGCAGAGAUUAUAUAUAUACAUACAUGCAUAUAUUCGUGUAUACAUUUGCAUAUUAUAAUUUAUCUACUGUUAUUCACUUUCUCACCUUCCUUGCCUGAUUUUGACCUUUAAUCUUGAAAUAAUUUUAUUAACUAUAUACUAUAGUUUGCUUUUUCUCACCUCUCCUUACAUUUUCAAUAUAAUUUCUUUCCAAAUAUUUAGGAUGUAUAUUGUGUUAUAAUUGCUAUAUCAACAUGAAUUGUGCCUAUUAUGAUUGUAAAAGUCCCUCUUUACACUGCUUUUUACUUUUGAGCUUAUAUCUAAGAUUUUCUGAUGAAAUAUUGACAUUUUUGCCUUUCUUAAUUUUGCAUUUGCCUGGUAUCUCUUGGCUUUUCCCUUUAUUUUCAACCGUUCUUUAUCACUUGGUCUGAAGCAAGUUUCUUGUAACAGCACAUUGCUCGAUUUUGUUUUUUUAACCUAAUUUGACAGCUUUUGUCUUUUUAUAGAAUAUUCAGUAAGAGGAUUCAGUUUUCAGAAUGAACUAGAGCACAGAAGGGGGACUGCCUCUGCAUAUUUAAGUAGAUUGUAUUCCAAAGAUAUGAACAUUGUUGAGGCAGGAGAACUAACUAGCUUCUUACAUAGAAAGGUGUUUCUAUAGGGAAUGCUCCACAGAAUUCCAAUUAAUUGUUUCACAGAUUAAGAGAGUCACCAGGGUUCCCUUGUAACAUUUCUCAUCAAAGAGUGUUCUAUAGGGAAGAGAUAAAACCUAAACAGUCCCGGAAGCUGAGACAAGAAACUGAAAAAAAAAGGAAAGUGAGCAACAAGAUAAUGUAAGUCACAACUGAGCCAAUUAAGGAGCAGGAGAUGCAGCAGCAUGUCCCAAACAAAACUGAUUGGAGGUCAAGUGUGGACAACCAGAGCAAGUUCUUGCACAGCUAAUGUAUCCCCAGGUGUGAACUGAGUAACAUGAAGAAAGGCAUCCUCCUGCCACCUCCUGAAUCAGUAGAAAAAGACAAAAGCUUUUGAUGGGAUUAUGCUGGAGUCCAUGUCAUGGAACCAAACUGGAAAUUUUCUGGCAUGAUUUUAGGCGUUUUGCAUGAACUCUAAUUCAUUGAAAUGUAACAACCUUAUAAGAUUCAACUGGCUCAUGGUUUGUACCGGGGGAACCAAGCCCAUGGUUGGGAUCCAGGGGUCCCUCCAGUCUCCUGUUCCAUGGUCGCACACACCUUGAGGGCACCCACACGGUUUGAUCGUCUCCUUAUAUUGCUGCUGGCAGACUCGUGACGGGGUUUCUCAUUCAUCUGGGUGUACAAGAAGCAUGGUGCCAGCAUCUGCUCAGCUUCUGAUGAGGGCUCUGGGAAGCUUUUACUCAUGGAGGAAGGCAAGGGGAACCAGCAUGUCACAUGAUGAGAAAGGAAGCAUGAGAGAGAGGUGCCAGACUCUUCAACAACCAGAAGAGAAAGUCAGAGAGAAUCAAAGCAUGUGAAGAGAGACCUCACGCAAGGAGGUCUAGGAGCCUAGAGUGAUCUUCAGCCAACAGUCAAAAAGAUAACUGGGACAACCACAAGGAACUGACUUCUAUAAGAGAAAUGAGCCUGGAAAAGGACUCCAAGCUUCAGAUGAAAAUGUAGUUGGCUGACACUUUGAUUUUAGUCUUGUGAAACCCUAAGCAGAGAAUCCAAGUAAGUCCCCCUGAACUUCUCACCUAAAGAACAAUGAGUUAAUAAAUAAGGGGUAUGAUAAGUCAUGAAAUAUGUGGUAAUUUAUUACAAAACAAUAUAUAAUGAUACAGAUACCUAUCUGGUAGCCAGAUAUUAUCCUAAGUAUUUUCCACAAGACAUUUAAUUUGAUUUAAUUAACACGCAACUCCAUAAGAGACAGAUCCUUUUAACUAUUUUGCAGGUGGUAAACUGAGGCUCAAGUAAUUUAUGUGAUUUGUCUAAGGUCCCAUAGGCUAUAAGUGUCAGAGCCCAGAUUGAGAAGUGUUUGGCUGUUCAUGCAAGUGCAAGCAGCUUUCAUUAAACUAUUCGCAGAAGUCUGUCAGAAUAGCUAGCAAGGAUACCAACUAUCUAGGGAAAGUCACACCAAAGGAGUGACCCAAAGAAACACAUUUUAACCUGAACUGCCUGGUAAUACACUGAAGGCAAAUCAGCCCCAAAGACUAAAAUUGUUAAUUUUCUGUGAUUCCUCGCUGUUUUAUUUAAUAUAAUAUGACCUUAACCUAGUCUUGAUAUUUGAUUUCUGAACAAUGAGUCAAGAGAGUUGCCUUCUCUAUGUAGUAGUACUUUACUGUUGUCAAAGACUUGUCCUUUGGUGCUUCAUAUUUUGCUUUACCUACAUGGAACAUUGCUAAUUUAGGUGAUAGCCUAACUAUUUAUAGUUAAAUACACCCACCAAGUUCCCUUUACCCUUCAAAUUAACUAAAAAGAAACAACUUCCUACUUCUUACACCACAUAAAAUUCAUAUUUUGCUUUAAAUGUAAUUUUUCAGCAAAGAGCCUAGUGGAGUUCACUUAAAACUAACCAAAUCAGCUGUUAAAAUUGUCCAUUUGAUCACAUGGGUUAUAGGCAUAGUUAUUUGACUGAGUUAUGACAAUGCUCAGAAACAGAAAAGACAGUCAAAGGUUAUCAUGUAAGUUCAAUAAAAAUUCAACAGUUGUUUUUAAAGAUUUUCAUAUGAUAAUAUUGUUUCACUUUCUAUUACCCAUAUUUGAUUUCAUUUACAAAUAAAAUACUACCCACUCUAUGAAUCAUGCUUUUAUCUCAAAUAUAUCUAGAGUGAAUCUCUAUGAUUUUUAGAAUACAGAAAUAUACAUUUUAAAAAGAUUUUAACAUUUAUUGUAAAUAAUUUAAGACAACUUUUAGAUAUAUCACGUGAGUGUUUAACUCAAUUUUCAUGACCCAGCUGGCCCAAAUUAGUCUUUUUUAUAAAUUGUUUUUUGAGUUGAAAUUAUUCUUUCACACCUAAAGAACUCUAUCUGAUGCUCUAGAGAGAAAUAUUCAAUUGAACUUCACAAUGUAGAACAUUUCCUGCAUUCUCCAUUGUAGACUGUGAUGAAUAAAUCAAUAUGUGCUUACUAAAAACAAAUGAUACAAUUUAAGGAAAUAUAUUAUUUUGAGUCCUGAUUCAAAGAAAAUAACCAAAUAUUUAAAAUUUAUUUAAAAUUUGUACUGUUUAUUUAUAUAAUUAUAACAUCUUCAAAAUCAAUAAUGAUUUUCUUCAUUUAGUAUUUAAACAUAACUAUUUUCUCAUAGUACUAGAGUCGCCAUAAGCAUCACUCUAUGGCUAUAUAAUUUCUGACAUGUGCUUUUAUUGGAAUUCAUUAAUAAUUUCAUUAUUUUUAGGUAUUUAGAUCAUGGCCCACUUUCCCCUACAACCACGAUACCUGUUUAAAUUGACAAAUCAUAGUUGUAUGGAUUUACGGGGCAAAAUGUGAUGUUUUGAUAUACGUAUAUGAUACAGUUUGAUUAAAUCAAGCUGCUUUAACAUAUCCAUCAUCCUGCUUACCUAUCAUUUUUAAUAAUGAGAUAUUUGAAAUGUAUUCUCUUAGUUAUUUUCAAAUACAUAAUACAUUAUUAUUGACUGUAGUCAUCCUGGUGUGCAAUGAAUCUCAAGAUGAAUAUUUCCAUGAACAUUAAAAAAAAUUCUUCCAUUUUGAAAUGUCACUUUUCAUUAAUUGUGACUCUGAUACUUCUCCGCUUGACAUCUCCACUUAUGCAAUAAAAAAAUUCAUUGUACACUUUAUCUUCUAGGGACUUGACACGUGCAAGCCCUUCACUUUCAUUUUUUUCUAAGCCAGCUUUCUCCAUCCCCUCAUAUCAAUGCCUCAGCAUCCAGUGAUUAAAUCCCAGCAUUUCUAUCACAGUUUAUCUCCAUCACAAUAUUUCCUGUUUUGCAGUAUAACUGGUGAUUAACUUUAAUUACAAUCAUGACUACUCUAUAGCAGAGGCCAAAAUGAUGAUUACACAUCAUGUUUCAUAAUAUUUUUCAGUUAGAUGAAGCUUCAGUGCAGCUACCCUGCUAAAAUAACUAAUUUGCAUAUCAUUAUAUAGAGUUCAAAUGAACUUAUUUUAUCCACUCCCACCCAUUAGUCAUCUUAUUGCAGUUUAGAAAAUAUAUUGACUCUGGACCAUGAGUCUGUAGGUGAAGGUAACAGUUAUAAUGAUGAAAAAAAAUUUUCUCAGGUCAUUCUGUAUUUUUCCUGAUUUAAUUGAUUAUAUCACUCAUAGGCCAUCAAGGCACCACUAGAAACUUUUCUAUUAAACAUAGUACUGGAAGUUCCAGCCAGGGCAAUCAGUCAAGAGAAAGAAAUAAAGGGUAUUCAAAUAGG
rnacentral:lncRNA from 1 species